rnacentral:rRNA from 1 species
AGUGAACGCUGGCGGCGUGCCUAACACAUGCAAGUCGAGCGCGAAAGGGUAGCAAUACCUGAGUAAAGCGGCGAACGGGUGAGUAACACGUGGUUAACCUACCGAGAUGUGGGGGAUACCCCGGAGAAAUUCGGGACAAUACCGCAUACAGUCUUCUGGACGUCGGUCUGGAAGAGCAAAGCCGGGGAUCGUAAGACCUGGCGCAUUUCGAGGGGACCGCGGCCGAUUAGCUAGUUGGCGGGGUAAGGCCCACCAAGGCUUCGAUCGGUAGCCGGCCUGAGAGGGUGAACGGCCACACCGGAACUGAGACACGGUCCGGACUCCUACGGGAGGCAGCAGUGGGGAAUUUUGCGCAAUGGGCGAAAGCCUGACGCAGCAACGCCGCGUGAGGAUGAAGGUUCUCUGAAUCGUAAACUCCUGUCGGCCGGGAAGAAUGGGCAGGGUGCUAAUCAGCCCUG